rnacentral:rRNA from 1 species
AACAGAGGGGGCAAGCGUUGCUCGGAAUCACUGGGCGUAAAGGGCGCGUAGGCGGGAUGGCAAGUCAGUCGUGAAAUCUCUCGGCUCAACCGAGAAACGUCGGCUGAUACUGCCGUUCUUGAGGGAUGCAGAGGAGACUGGAAUUCCCGGUGUAGCGGUGAAAUGUGUAGAGAUCGGGAGGAACACCGGUGGCGAAGGCGGGUCUCUGGGCAUCUCCUGACGCUGAGGCGCGAAAGCGUGGGGAGCAAACGGG